UUAUACAACUUUCAGCAACGGAUCUCUUGGCUCUCGCAUCGAUGAAGAACGCAGCGAAAUGCGAUAAGUAAUGUGAAUUGCAGAAUUCAGUGAAUCAUCGAAUCUUUGAACGCACCUUGCGCUCCUUGGUAUUCCGAGGAGCAUGCCUGUUUGAGUGUCAGU
rnacentral:rRNA from 5 species